GCGAGGGUGGCGGAACUGGCAGACGCGCUGGACUUAGGAUCCAGUCCCUUAUGGGAUGAGGGUUCAACUCCCUCCCCUCGCA
rnacentral:tRNA from 1 species